rnacentral:rRNA from 1 species
UACGAAGGGGGCUAGCGUUGUUCGGAAUUACUGGGCGUAAAGCGCACGUAGGCGGACAUUUAAGUCAGGGGUGAAAUCCCGGGGCUCAACCCCGGAACUGCCUUUGAUACUGGGUGUCUUGAGUCCGGAAGAGGUGAGUGGAAUUCCGAGUGUAGAGGUGAAAUUCGUAGAUAUUCGGAGGAACACCAGUGGCGAAGGCGGCUCACUGGUCCGGUACUGACGCUGAGGUGCGAAAGCGUGGGGAGCAAACAGG